rnacentral:rRNA from 1 species
AUUGAACGCUGGCGGCGGGCCUAACACAUGCAAGUCGAACGAGGGGCGGACGGGUGAGUAAUGUCUGGGACCCUGCCUGAUGGAGGGGGAUAACUACUGGAAACGGUACCUAAUCCCGCAUACCAUCGGAUGUGCCCAGAUGGGAUUAGCUAGUAGGUGGGUUAACGGCUCACCUAGGCGACGAUCCCUAGCUGGUCUGAGAGGAUGACCAGCCACACUGGAACUGAGACACGGUCCAGACUCCUACGGGAGGCAGCAGUGGGGAAUAUUGCACAAUGGGCGAAAGCCUGAUGGAGCCAUGCCGCGUGUGUGAAGAAGGUCGUCGGGUUGUAAAGCACUGUCAGUGGGGAGGCGGUACCCGCAGAAGAAGCACCGGCUAACUCCGUGCCAGCAGCCGCGGUAAUUC